CUCUGCAGCAGCAGUUCCAUUUUCAUUUCGCUUGUCGCAGAUUUUCCGGAUUUGGCAGAGCUUCCAGCAGAUUUGGUUAAGCAUCCGGCUGGCAACAUAACAAUAGCCAUUCCAGUUGACAACUAUCAUACAGGCAUUCGAUCGAAUCCAGGCAAAUAUUUAUGUAGCUGGUGAUUUGAAAACACUACUUCGCGUAGGACUGCUCUUCGACACUACUAGCUGGAAUAUGGUAGAAGAUGAUUUUGUCAGAGGAGCUUUGAGGCUGAUGAAAAAGCUGUCAAAUAAAGGCAUCAAGCGAACCAUAAUUAUGGAAAAUGCUAGCAUGGAGGAAAUUACCGCUGCACCGUUGAUUAGAUGGACUAAAUACACGCAAACAGACAUUGGAUUUGAUGAGAAGCUUGCGGUGAAACAAUCAUCCGCAACAGUUGUUGGACCACUUAUCAUCUGCGUAGCUGAUCGAUACAAACAAGGCAAUAUGUACGUUGUCUUCAAUCAAAACGUCAUUCCUUGUGGCGAUUCAAGCACACGGGCUAUCGAGAUUUUGUUCAAAUCGUUUGCUGUGCUUGGCUUGAAAGUACCAAUGUUGCUCCGGAAACUCAAUGACAUGAUAUCGGUAAAUGUCUGGGGAACGAAACAUUACAGUAAAUGUAAAUCCGUCACAGAGCUAACUGUGCGAUACAAGGAAUUUUUGAAUAAUUCAACAGUCGAAUGAAAUGUGAAAAAUUUUGUAUAUUGAUUUGGUC